rnacentral:rRNA from 1 species
UACAGAGGUCCCAAGCGUUGUUCGGAUUUACUGGGCGUAAAGGGUGCGUAGGUGGCGGGGUAAGUCUGGUGUGAAAGCUCCGAGCUCAACUCGGAAAAGCAUUGGAAACUAUCCCGCUAGAGGGUCGGAGGGGAGACUGGAAUUCUCGGUGUAGCAGUGAAAUGCGUAGAUAUCGAGAGGAACACCAGUGGCGAAGGCGAGUCUCUGGACGGCAACUGACGCUGAGGCACGAAAGCGUGGGGAGCAAACAGG